UGGAAUUAUGCAACGAAAAAAAAUUCUUAUGAUAAUAAGUAUGUAGGUCUUUUUAUAUAUAAUACAUUUUUUAGCUGAUGAUUCAAUUAAUAUUAUUUACUUAUUUAUUUUAUCUACUGAACUGAACUACAUUAAAAGAGGAAACAUUAAACACUCUUAUUUAAUAAUUUGCCGAUGUGGAGACAAUUAUUUUUUUCAAGGUCAGAAAAUUUGUUGUAGAAAUAGGAAUAAAAUUUGGUAGUAUUAAUAUUUCAUAUUUAGUUUUUACUAUUUUUGGUUACAAGUACUUUCUUUUCUUUCUUUUCUUUCCUUUUUCUCUUUUUAAUUUUUAUUUCCCUCCUUAUUUAGCACACUAAACAGAUUUUAAAAAGAGGAGAUGAAAUUGAAAACUAAAUAGAAGAAAGUUGUAUAAAAAACCCUUUUUAUUUAAAAAAAAAAUGGUUAGCAAUUAAAAUAUUUAUUAAUAUAUUAGAAAAAGCAUAGUAAAAAAUUAUGAAAUGUAAAUAUUAUAGAAAAGAAGACGUGCUGCAUCGUGAGGAAGUUUUUCUAUUUAAUGAUGAAUGAAAAAUUAAUAACACAAUUAUUGAGAUCAUGAACAGUUGGAAGGAAUAUGUUGAGGUAGUAGAAUUGAGUUGAGGAAGUAACAAUGGGUUGAGUUCAGUUGAAUUGAAUAAAAAAUGUUCCCUUAUUUUUGACCUAAAUAGUAUUUUGCUUGAGUAAGUGCUUAGACAAUCCUACUGUUAUAAACUUUUAUCCAAUUUAGUUGUGUGUUUUGGACAAAUUGAUAUAUGAGGUCGAACAAACAACGGACACAAGGGUUUAGCAGAAGACUAUUUAUUUGACAAAGGAUUUGCAUGGAAUUCAAUGCCUCUCAUUUAGUUGAGAGAGAUACGUUCGUCCAGGUCAUGGAAGAAAUUAUUUGAGGAGGCCAUGAAAAAGAAUUUGAUCCUUUGAUUCUCUCUCGACUGGAUGCUUACGCUUGAUUUGGAGGAAGCGGAGCACGUGAUGUUCUUGAAGUUUGUUGAACGUCUACGCUUGAUUUCGAGAAGCGCAACACGUGGUGUUCUUCAAGUUGGUUGAAUGCCUAUGUUUGAUUUGAGGAAGCGGAGCACAUGAUGUUUUUGAAGUUGAAGUCUUGGAAGAAAGUUUGUAUCUUCAAUGAGCUUCAAUCUUCGAGGGAAGUUGGAGUGUUGGAAGAAAUCUUGUAUCUUCAAUGAGCUUCAAUCAUCGAGGGAAGUUAGAGUCUUGGAAGAAACCUUGUAUCUUCAAAAGAGUUUCAAUCUUCGAGGAUGGUCAAUUUUAGGAGUUAGGGAGUCUUCUAGUUCUUGGGAAAAUUCUCUCUAAACCUUCUGAAGUCAAAAAUUUUCAACCUCUUUCAAAUAAUGAGAACUCUUCUAUUUAUAGAGUUCACUGGUGGGCUUUAUAGGCUUCAGCCUGAUUGGUCCAUGGAUUUAGGUUAUAUUUAGUCUUUGGGCUCAAUUAAGUUUAUUUUUGGGCUUAA